UACGUAGGGUGCAAGCGUUAAUCGGAAUUACUGGGCGUAAAGCGUGCGCAGGCGGUUUUGUAAGUCAGAUGUGAAAUCCCCGGGCUUAACCUGGGAACUGCGUUUGAAACUACAAGGCUAGAGUGUGGCAGAGGGGGGUGGAAUUCCACGUGUAGCAGUGAAAUGCGUAGAGAUGUGGAGGAACACCGAUGGCGAAGGCAGCCCCCUGGGUUAACACUGACGCUCAUGCACGAAAGCGUGGGGAGCGAACAGG
rnacentral:rRNA from 1 species